rnacentral:rRNA from 1 species
UACGGAGGGUGCGAGCGUUAAUCGGAAUUACUGGGCGUAAAGGGUGCGUAGGUUGUUGAUUAAGUUGUCUGUGAAAUACCUGGGCUUAACCUGGGGGUGUCAGAUGAGACUGAUUGACUAGAGUACGGGAGAGGGUAGUGGAAUUUCCGGUGUAGCGGUGAAAUGCGUAGAGAUCGGAAGGAACACCAGUGGCGAAGGCGGCUACCUGGCCUGAUACUGACACUGAGGCACGAAAGCGUGGGGAGCAAACAGG